AGACCCACAACACAACUCAUACAUAUCCACCAAGUUUCUUUAGAAACAAGUCAUAAAACACUAUCUUCUUUGUGAUAUUGACUGAAUAUGAGCUCCACAACGGGGGUUCAGAGCACUGGUGGCGUGUGGUCGUGGCCUAACAUUAUUGGGUUUACAAUGGAAGAUGCCAUGAUUAUCAUCCUUAGGGACAAGCCUGAUGCUGAUAUUGUCUUUCUGCCAGUUGGCUCGCCGGUGACCACAAACGACUUCCGCCCCAACCGCGUUCGCAUAUUUCUGGACACUAUCGUCUCCCCGCCCCGUGUGGGCUAGAUAGCUUUGCUAUAGAGUUGAGCAAUAAAAUGUAUGAUGCUAAGAAAAUCAUUCCUGCCGAUACAUCUUUUGUAUGGAUGUGUGUUACUUUCCUAUAAACUAAAUAAGUGGGCUGGUUUGCACAAUUGCA